CAUUAUGCUAACAGCAUAAACAUGCAGGGGGUGGGAGCAGGGUCACAAAAGUGAGUGUUGUCAAUUCUACUUGGAAUGAAAGGUUGAAAUAAUUUAAACAGUACGGGAAAUGCAGAGCAAUUUUCUCCUCUGGUGACAAUAUAGUGUCCAACACUUGGAAGUGAUUUUUAAGAAUGUUUAUUUAAAUUAAAAGGAUGGAUUUCCAAGGAAAAAAAAUAAGGAAAAGGAAAGAAAAAACUGAACAGAAAACGCAAAAGUAUCAGUUUGGUCACUAACCUUUGCAAGGAUACCUUUUUAUUUUCUUUAAGAUUCCUGUUGUUUAUACACAGAUUUUAAGUUUACUCCUACUGCUGACCCAAGUGAAAUUCCUUCUCCAGUCACAGUGUCAACCUCUACCCCCCAACUGCAACGAGAGUUUUGAGGGGCAUCAAUCACACCGAGAAGUCACAGCCCCUCAACCACUGAGGUGUGGGGGGGUAGGGAUCUGCAUUUCUUCAUAUCAACCCCACACUAUAGGGCACCUAAAUGGGUGGGCGGUGGGGGAGACCGACUCACUUGAGUUUCUUGAAGGCUUCCUGGCCUCCAGCCACGUAAUUGCCCCCGCUCUGGAUCUGGUCUAGCUUCCGGAUUCGGUGGCCAGUCCGCGGGGUGUAGAUGUUCCUGACGGCCCCAAAGGGUGCCUGAACGCCGCCGGUCACCUCCUUCAGGAAGACUUCGAAGCUGGACACCUUCUUCUCAUGGAUGACGACGCGGCGCCCCGCGUAGAAGGGGUCCCCGUUGCGGUACACAAGCACGCUCUUCACGACGGGCUGAGACAGGUGGCUGGACCUGGCGCUGCUGCCGCUCAUCUUCCCCGCUGGCCGCCGCCUCAGCUCGCUGCUUCGCGUCGGGAGGCACCUCCGCUGUCCCAGCGGCCUCACCGCACCCAGGGCGCGGGAUCGCCUCCUGAAACGAACGAGAAACUGACGAAUCCACAGGUGAAAGAGAAGUAACGGCCGUGCGCCUAGGCGUCCACCCAGAGGAGACACUAGGAGCUUGCAGGACUCGGAGUAGACGCUCAAGUUUUUCACCGUGGCGUGCACAGCCAAUCAGGACCCGCAGUGCGCGCACCACACCAGGUUCACCUGCUACGGGCAGAAUCAAGGUGGACAGCUUCUGAGCAGGAGCCGGAAACGCGCGGGGCCUUCAAACAGGCACGCCUAGUGAGGGCAGGAGAGAGGAGGACGCACACACACACACACACACAAAUAUGGUGAAACCCAAUUUCUUACAUCAUAUCUGUGCUACCCUUUCCAAACAGCCUAAUUUUUCUUUUCUCUCUUCUUGCACCUUUACCCCUCAAUCUCCUGCUUGCUCCCAAAUUAAAGCAAUUAAGUUCCUGGA
ensembl:lncRNA KAAG1 kidney associated DCDC2 antisense RNA 1